CAACCCUCAAGCUUAGCUUGGUCUUGGGCACUGCCGGUGACGGCUUGCCUUAAAAUCAGUGGCGGUGCCAUUCGAGCUCUACGCGUAGUAAUUAACCCUCGCGAUUGAGUCUUGGUGGAUGCUUGCCAGCAACCCUCAAUUUUUUAU
rnacentral:misc_RNA from 2 species